GCGGGCGUGGUGAAAUGGUAGACACGCAAGUUUUAGGAACUUGUGCCCAAAAGGUGUGGAGGUUCGAGUCCUCUCGCCCGCA
rnacentral:tRNA from 1 species